GGGGCUGUAGCUCAGUGGGAGAGCACUACGCUGGCAGCGUAGUGGCCGAGGGUUCGAAUCCCUCCAGCUCCA
rnacentral:tRNA from 1 species